rnacentral:rRNA from 1 species
AUGCAAGUCGAGCGGUAACAGAAAGUAGCUUGCUACUUUGCUGACGAGCGGCGGACGGGUGAGUAAUGCUUGGGAACAUGCCUUGAGGUGGGGGACAACAGUUGGAAACGACUGCUAAUACCGCAUAAUGUCUACGGACCAAAGGGGGCUUCGGCUCUCGCCUUUAGAUUGGCCCAAGUGGGAUUAGCUAGUUGGUGAGGUAAUGGCUCACCAAGGCGACGAUCCCUAGCUGGUUUGAGAGGAUGAUCAGCCACACUGGGACUGAGACACGGCCCAGACUCCUACGGGAGGCAGCAGUGGGGAAUAUUGCACAAUGGGCGCAAGCCUGAUGCAGCCAUGCCGCGUGUGUGAAGAAGGCCUUCGGGUUGUAAAGCACUUUCAGUCAGGAGGAAAGGUUAGUGGUUAAUACCCGAUAGCUGUGACGUUACUGACAGAAGAAGCACCGGCUAACUCCGUGCCAGCAGCCGCGGUAAUACGGAGGGUGCGAGCGUUAAUCGGAAUUACUGGGCGUAAAGCGUACGCAGGCGGUUUGUUAAGCGAGAUGUGAAAGCCCCGGGCUCAACCUGGGAACUGCAUUUCGAACUGGCAAACUAGAGUGUGAUAGAGGGUGGUAGAAUUUCAGGUGUAGCGGUGAAAUGCGUAGAGAUCUGAAGGAAUACCGAUGGCGAAGGCAGCCACCUGGGUCAACACUGACGCUCAUGUACGAAAGCGUGGGGAGCAAACGGGAUUAGAUACCCCGGUAGUCCACGCCGUAAACGAUGUCUACUAGAAGCUCGGAGCCUCGGUUCUGUUUUUCAAAGCUAACGCAUUAAGUAGACCGCCUGGGGAGUACGGCCGCAAGGUUAAAACUCAAAUGAAUUGACGGGGGCCCGCACAAGCGGUGGAGCAUGUGGUUUAAUUCGAUGCAACGCGAAGAACCUUACCUACACUUGACAUACAGAGAACUUACCAGAGAUGGUUUGGUGCCUUCGGGAACUCUGAUACAGGUGCUGCAUGGCUGUCGUCAGCUCGUGUUGUGAGAUGUUGGGUUAAGUCCCGCAACGAGCGCAACCCCUAUCCUUAGUUGCUAGCAGGUAAUGCUGAGAACUCUAAGGAGACUGCCGGU